GAAGAGAAGAAUGCACCAGGCAUGAUGAAAAAACCCCACAAGAAGCAGUUCCUUUAGCCUCCAUAAGAUGGUUAUUUCAGCUGUUGGAACGCACAGACAGGAAGUAUUGUAUAGACAGGAAGUGAUGUAAAGGUCAGACAGGAAGUAAUUUAAAGUACACAAAGCGGUUCUUGGUCUCACAGUAAUUUGGGAGGAAGUAGCACUGGCAGCAGAGGAGCAAAAGGUACCAAGAGGAUUCUAGAAGUCACCAACAGGAUCAUUGAUCUGCUGAGAGGAGAGGUUCCUAUAAGGUGUCAGGAUGUCACUGUCUAUUUCUC